AUGAAUCCUAAUGUCCGCAUUACUCAUCCAUAUGCAGAGGGGAAUAGCAGGUUAUGCGUCUCCGUGAGAGACUACUACUAUUACAUGCUGCAGACACGACCUGGUAUAUUCAAUCCCAUACUCUGUGGAGCACGAUUGCUCCAGCAAUGGGGGGUGGACAUGUACAUCAAGAUUGAGAGUUGUAGGUUGAAAUGGUACAGGAAGAACCAGACAAAGAUCCGUGCCGACCUAUAUAAGGGAGUUGUUGAUGCAAUUACAUCCGGGGAGACCCGAGCAAGCGCUGUUGGAGUAAGGAUUGUGCUCCCUAGAACGUACCCAGGUGGCGACCACGACAUGAAACGGAGACAUAUGGAUGCCAUGGCAAUUACCCAGGUGGCGACCACGAGUUCCAGAAGAGGGGCCUCCCCCACGCACACUUUUUGUUGA
rnacentral:rRNA from 1 species